AAGGUUUGAUCCUGGCUCAGAAGGAACGCUAGCUAUAUGCUUAACACAUGCAAGUCGAACGUUGUUUUCGGGGAGCUGGGCAGAAGGAAAAGAGGCUCCUAGCGUGAAGGUAGCUUGUCUCGCCCAGGGAGGUGGGAACAGUUGAAACAAAGUGGCGAACGGUGGCGUUAAUGCGUGGAAAUCUGCCGAACAGUUCGGGCCAAUCCUGAAGAAAGCUAAAAGCGCUGAUUUGAUGAGCCUGCGUAGUAUUAGUAGUUGGUCAGGUAAAGGCUGACCAAGCAAUGAUGCUUAGCUGGUCUUUUCGGUAUGAUCAGCCACACUGGGACUGAGACACGGGCCCGGACUCCCACGGGGCAGCAGUGGGAAUCUUGGACAAUGGCGCAAAAGCCAGAUCCAGCAUAUCGCGUGAGUGAAAGAAGGGCAAUGCGACCUACUGUAAAGCUCUUUCGUCGAGGCGAGUGCGCGAUCAUGACAGGACUCGAGGAAGAAGCCCCGGCUAACUCCGUGCACAGCAGCCGCGGUAAGACGGGGGGGCAAGUGUUCUUCGAAUGACUGGGCACCGUAAAGGGCACGUAGGCGGUGAAUCGGGUUGAAAGUGAAAGUCGCCAAAAACUGGUGGAAUGCUCUCGAAACAAUUCACUUGGUGAGACAGAGGAGAGUGGAAUUUGCGUGUUGUAGGCUGAAAUCCGCGAUCUACGACAGAAGCAAAGCGAAGGCAGCUCUCUGGGUCCCUACGACGCUGGAAGUGCGAAGCAUGGGGAGCGAAACGGAUUAGAUACUCCUGGUAGUCCAUGCCGUAACGAUGAGUGUUCGCCCUUGGUCUACGUGGAUCAGGGCCAGCUAACGCGUGAAACACUCCGCCUGGGGAGUACGGCGCAAGACCGAAACUCAAGGAAUGACGUGGGGCCUGCACAAGCGGUGGAUGUGGUUAAUUCGUACAACGCGCCAAAACCUUACCAGCCCUUGACAUAUGAACAAGAAAACCGUGUCCUUAACGGGAUGGUACUGACUUUCAUUACAGGUGCUGCAAUGGCUGUCGUCAGCUCGUGUCGUGAGGAUGUUGGGUCAAGUCCAAUAUAACGAGCGAAACCCUCGUUUUGUGUUGCUGAGAUGCGUCCUAGGAGAAAGUCUUUGCAACCAAGUGAGCUGAGGAGCCGAGUGACGCGCCAGCGCUACUAAUUGAGUGCCAGCACGUAGCUGUGCUGUCAGUAAGAAGGAGAGCGGCGCCUUUCGAAUUCGAAGCACUUCUAGUGUGCGCUGUUUUUUGAUUGCCGCUAAGCGAGCAGAACGACUAUGCUGCGAACGCGGCUUUCGCGCAGCUCAAUCCCUGUUGUUGCUUUACUAAAUAGAAUUUCUCGCUUGUUUAGUAAAGUCCAGUUUUUGCCUUCUCAUGCAUGGUGACGACGACGUCGAGUGCGCGGAGAAAGACUCGGCAUUCAGGCCGAGCCGCCCGGUGGUGUGGUACGUGUGGGUUUGUACGCCCCGCCAAACAAACGGCUCCGAAACAAACUAAAGGUGCAUGCGCACUCACGAGGGACUGCCAGUGAUUAUUACUGGAGAAGGUGGGGAUGACGUCAAGUCCGCAUGGCCCUUAUGGCUGGGCCACACACGUGCUACGAAUGCAAUUACAAUGGGAAGCAUAGGCUGUAAGGCGGAGCGACUCCGGAAGAUUGCCUCAGUUCGGAUUGUUCUACUGCAACUCAGGAACAUGAAGUUGGAAUCGCUAGUAAUCGGAUCAGGCAUUUGCCGCGGUGAAUGAAUAUGUACCCGGCCCUUGUUACACCACCGCCACGGUCACACCUGGAAUGGUUUCGCCCGACGCAUCGGACCAAUGAUCACCCAUGACUUCUGCUUGUUACCACUAGUGCCACAAAGGCUCGUUGUUCGGUCUUAUUGGCGCAUACACGUGGGCGUCUUCGACUGGGGUGAAGAUGUAACAAGGUAGCCGUUAGAGGGAACCUGUGGUGG
rnacentral:ncRNA from 1 species